rnacentral:rRNA from 1 species
ACGGGGCGCAGCAGGCGCGAAACCUCCGCAAUACACGAAAGUGUGACGGGGUUACCCAAAGUGUUCAAUUUUGAACUGUGGUAGGUGAGUAAUGUUCCCUACUAGAAAGGAGAGGGCAAGGCUGGUGCCAGCCGCCGCGGUAAAACCAGCUCUUCAAGUGGUCGGGAUAAUUAUUGGGCUUAAAGUGUCCGUAGCCGGUUUAGUAAGUUCCUGGUAAAAUCGGGUAGCUUAACUAUCUAUAUGCUAGGAAUACUACUAUACUAGAGGGCGGGAGAGGUCUGAGGUACUACAGGGGUAGGGGUGAAAUCUUAUAAUCCUUGUUGGACCACCAGUGGCGAAGGCGUCAGACUGGAACGCGCCUGACGGUGAGGGACGAAAGCCAGGGGAGCGAACCGGAUUAGAUACCCGGGUAGUCCUGGCCGUAAACGAUGCAUACUAGGUGAUGGCACGGCCAUGAGCCGUGUCAGUGCCGUAGGGAAACCGUUAAGUGUGCCGCCUGGGAAGUACGGUCGCAAGGCUAAAACUUAAAGGAAUUGGCGGGGGAGCACCACAAGGGGUGAAGCCUGCGGUUCAAUUGGACUCAACGCCGGAAAACUUACCAGGGGAGACAGCAGUAUGACGGUCAGGUUGACGACCUUACCUAACGAGCUGAGAGGAGGUGCAUGGCCGUCGCCAGUUCGUGCCGUGAGGUAUCCUGUUAAGUCAGGCAACGAACGAGAUCCGCACCUUUAUU